rnacentral:rRNA from 1 species
CCUACGGGUGGCUGCAGUGGGGAAUAUUGGACAAUGGGCGAAAGCCUGAUCCAGCCAUGCCGCGUGUGUGAAGAAGGCCUUCGGGUUGUAAAGCACUUUCAGUGGGGAAGAAAGCCUUGGGGCUAAUACCCUCGAGGAAGGACAUCACCCACAGAAGAAGCACCGGCUAACUCCGUGCCAGCAGCCGCGGUAAUACGGAGGGUGCGAGCGUUAAUCGGAAUUACUGGGCGUAAAGCGCGCGUAGGCGGUCUGAUAAGCCGGUUGUGAAAGUCCCGGGCUCAACCUGGGAACGGCAUCCGGAACUGUCAGGCUAGAGUGCAGGAGAGGAAGGUAGAAUUCCCGGUGUAGCGGUGAAAUGCGUAGAGAUCGGGAGGAAUACCAGUGGCGAAGGCGGCCUUCUGGACUGACACUGACGCUGAGGUGCGAAAGCGUGGGUAGCAAACAGGAUUAGAUACCCGAGUAGUC